UGGGGAAUUUUGGACAAUGGGCGAAAGCCUGAUCCAGCAAUGCCGCGUGUGUGAAGAAGGCCUUCGGGUUGUAAAGCACUUUUGUCCGGAAAGAAAUGGCUCUGGUUAAUACCUGGGGUCGAUGACGGUACCGGAAGAAUAAGGACCGGCUAACUACGUGCCAGCAGCCGCGGUAAUACGUAGGGUCCAAGCGUUAAUCGGAAUUACUGGGCGUAAAGCGUGCGCAGGCGGUUGUGCAAGACCGAUGUGAAAUCCCCGAGCUUAACUUGGGAAUUGCAUUGGUGACUGCACGGCUAGAGUGUGUCAGAGGGGGGUAGAAUUCCACGUGUAGCAGUGAAAUGCGUAGAGAUGUGGAGGAAUACCGAUGGCGAAGGCAGCCCCCUGGGAUAACACUGACGCUCACGCACGAAAGCGUGGGGAGCAAACAGG
rnacentral:rRNA from 1 species